GUGCAGCAGUCGCGCAACCUCUGCAAUACGCGAAAGCGUGACAGGGCUACCCCGAGUGCCGUCCGCUGAGGAUGGCUUUUCUCCGCUGUAGUAAGCCGGAGGAAUAAGGAGAGGGCAAGUCUGGUGUCAGCCGCCGCGGUAAUACCAGCUCUCCGAGUGGUAGGGACGAUUAUUGGGCCUAAAGCGUCCGUAGCCGGCUAAGCAAGUUUCCCGUUAAAUCCAGCGAUUCAAUCGUUGGACUGCGGGAAAUACUGUUGAGCUAGGAGGCGAGAGAGGCCGACGGUAUUCCCGGAGUAGGGGUGAAAUCCCAUAAUCCCGGGAGGACCACCAGUGGCGAAGGCUGUUGGCUAGAACGCGCUCGACGGUGAGGGACGAAAGCUGGGGGAGCGAACCGGAUUAGAUACCCCUGGAGUCC
rnacentral:rRNA from 1 species